UACGAAGGGGGCUAGCGUUGUUCGGAAUUACUGGGCGUAAAGCGCGCGCAGGCGGUUCUUCAAGUUAGUGGUGAAAGCCCGGAGCUCAACUCCGGAAAUGCCAUUGAAACUGUAGAACUUGAGGACGAGAGAGGUGAGUGGAAUUCCCAGUGUAGAGGUGAAGUUCGUAGAUAUUGGGAAGAACACCGGUGGCGAAGGCGGCUCACUGGCUCGUUU
rnacentral:rRNA from 1 species